rnacentral:rRNA from 1 species
CCUUCCGUAGGGGAACCUGCGGAAGGAUCAUUACUGAUUUGCUUAAUUGCACCACAUGUGUUUUUCUUUGAAACAAACUUGCUUUGGCGGUGGGCCCAGCCUGCCGCCAGAGGUCUAAACUUACAACCAAUUUUUUAUCAACUUGUCACACCAGAUUAUUACUAAUAGUCAAAACUUUCAACAACGGAUCUCUUGGUUCUCGCAUCGAUGAAGAACGCAGCGAAAUGCGAUACGUAAUAUGAAUUGCAGAUAUUCGUGAAUCAUCGAAUCUUUGAACGCACAUUGCGCCCUCUGGUAUUCCGGAGGGCAUGCCUGUUUGAGCGUCGUUUCUCCCUCAAACCGCUGGGUUUGGUGUUGAGCAAUACGACUUGGGUUUGCUUGAAAGACGGUAGUGGUAAGGCGGGAUCGCUUUGACAAUGGCUUAGGUCUAACCAAAAACAUUGCUUGCGGCGGUAACGUCCACCACGUAUAUCUUCAAACUUUGACCUCAAAUCAGGUAGGACUACCCGCUGAACUUAAGCAUAUCAAUAAGCGGAGGAAUA